AUUGAACGCUGGCGGCAGGCCUAACACAUGCAAGUCGAGCGAGAGGCGGACGGGUGAGUAAUGUAUGGGGAUCUGCCCGAUGGAGGGGGAUGACUACUGGAAACGGUGGCUAAUACCGCAUACUAUCGGAUGAACCCAUAUGGGAUUAGCUAGUAGGUGGGGUAAAGGCUCACCUAGGAGACGAUCUCUAGCUGGUCUGAGAGGAUGAUCAGCCACACUGGGACGGAGACACGGCCCAGACUCCUACGGGAGGCAGCAGGGGGGAAUAUUGCACAAGGGGCGCAAGCCUGAGGCAGCCAUGCCGCGUGUAUGAAGAAGGCCUUAGGGUUGUAAAGUACUUUCAGCGGGGAGGCGUUACCCGCAGAAGAAGCACCGGCUAACUCCGUGCCAGCAGCCGCGGUAAUAC
rnacentral:rRNA from 1 species